rnacentral:rRNA from 1 species
UACGGGGGGGGCAAGCGUUGUUCGGAAUUACUGGGCGUAAAGGGCUCGUAGGUGGCCAACUAAGUCAGACGUGAAAUCCCUCGGCUUAACCGGGGAACUGCAUCUGAUACUGGAUGGCUUGAGUUCGGGAGAGGGAUGCGGAAUUCCAGGUGUAGCGGUGAAAUGCGUAGAUAUCUGGAGGAACACCGGUGGCGAAGGCGGGUCUCUGGGCCGAUACUGACGCUGAGGAGCGAAAGCGUGGGGAGCGAACAGG